GGAGGGCCAGGGCUGCUAUGAAUAAGUGUUCAUUCAGCCUUCCCCUCUUUUAGGCUGUGCAGAACCUUCACCUCCUUGUCUGAGAGGAGCCCAGGGCUGGGUGAGAGGUAACCUUUCUUUCUUUCUCUUCAGAAUGACACCUCUGGCGAGUACAAGAAGACUCUGCUGAAGCUGUGUGGGGGAGAUGAUGAUGCUGCUGGCCAGUUCUUCCCGGAGGCAGCGCAGGUGGCCUAUCAGAUGUGGGAACUUAGUGCAGUGGCCCGAGUAGAGCUGAAGGGAACUGUGCGCCCAGCCAAUGACUUCAACCCUGAUGCAGAUGCCAAAGCGCUGCGGAAAGCCAUGAAGGGACUCGGGACUGACGAAGACACAAUCAUCGAUAUCAUCACGCACCGCAGCAAUGCCCAGCGGCAGCAGAUCCGGCAGACCUUCAAGUCUCACUUUGGCCGGGACUUAAUGACUGACCUGAAGUCUGAGAUCUCUGGAGACC
rnacentral:sRNA from 1 species